GUACCGUGCGUUGGAUAUCGCGCGGGAAUUUGGGAGGCAUCGACUUCCAACCCUAAAUACGUUCCAAGACCGAUAGUGCACUAGUACCGUGAGGGAAAGCUGAAAAGCACCCUUAACCGGGUGUGAAAAGUGCCUGAAACCAGAUAGGUAUCGUAUGGCAUGGCUCCAAAGGCAACUAUUCUGAAGGAAUCCAUUGUAAAAUGGUAGUACGAGGAAUAGAGUCCAGAGUUGUGUCGUCCGUUUCGAAAAACGGGCCGGGGAGUAUAUUGUUGUGGCGAGCCUAAGACCUUUAUGGUCGGAGGCGUAGGGAAACCAACAAGUCCGCAAGCUUUUGCUGAGGGACGGGGUCUUAAGGGCCCGGAGUCACAGCGAUAUGACCCGAAACCGGGCGAUCUAGGCCAGGGCAAGGUGAAGUCCCUCAUCAGAGGGAUGGAGGCCUGCAGAGGUGCUGCCGUUCGAAGCGCUCUUCUGACCUUGGUCUAGGGGUGAAAGGCCAAUCGAGCCCGGAGAUAGCUGGUUCCCCCCGAAGUAACCCUAAGGUUAGCCGGAGGUUAGGUAGAUAGCAGGGUAGAGCACUGAUAGAGGGGUUAGGGGACGAAAGUCCUCGCCUUUCUGUCAAACUCCGAACCUGUUAUCGCUGCAGCCUCUGAGAAAGGGCAUACGGGUAAGCUGUAUGUCCGAGACGGGAAUAGCCGCGACUCAGGUUAAGGUCCCUAAGUACUGAUUAAGUGUGAACACGAAGGGCGUCCUUGGCCUAAGACAGCAGGGAGGUUGGCUUAGAAGCAGCCAUCCUUAAAAGAGUGCGUAACAGCUCACCUGUCGAGGUCAGGGGCCCCGAAAAUGGACGGGGCUAAAUCAGUUACCGAGACCUGAGGGCACCGAAAGGUGAUCCGGUAGGGGGGCGUUCUGUAAGGGCAGAAGUUUGGCUGUGAAGUCAAGUGGACCUUAUAGAAAUGAAGAUCCCGGUAGUAGUAACAGCACAAGUGGAGUGAGAAUCUCCACCGCCGAAGGGGCAAGGGUUUCACAGCAAUGUUCGUCAGCUGUGAGUAAGCCGGUCCUAACUUCCGAGGUAACUCCUUUGGAAGGAAAGGGAGACAGGUUAAUAUUCCUGUGCCAUCUAAAUACACGCGGCAACGCAAGGUUAGUUUCUGACGCUUCAGGGUAUGCUAACUACUCUUGUCUGGGUAGUCAAAUGUAUAAGUCUGGGGAGAAUUGUAAUAAUGAGAACCAGAUGAAAGCAUGAUGAUCCAUCCUUUAGGAUGGUUUGGUAGAUCUCUGGAGCCCGUGAAAAGGGAACUAUCAUGGAUUUUAGAUGACCGUACCCAGAACCGACACUGGUGCCCCUAGGUGAGUAUCCUAAGGCGUAUCGGAUGAAUCUAGUCGAGGGAAGUCGGCAAAAUGGCUCCGUAACUUCGGGAGAAGGAGUGCCAGUGACCUUGUUAAGGGGUCGCUGGUCGCAGUGACCAGGGAGGUCCGACUGUUCAAUACAAACACAGGUCUUAGCUAGUCUGAAAAGAUGUGUACUAAGGCCGACGCCUGCCCAGUGCUGGUACGUGAACCCCGGGUUCAACCGGGCGAAGCGCCAGUAAACGGCGGGGGUAACUAUAACCCUCUUAAGGUAGCGAAAUUCCUUGUCGGGUAAGUUCCGACCUGCAUGAAUGGCGUAACGAGACCUCCACUGUCCCCGACUAGAAUCCGGUGAACCUACCAUUCCGGUGCAAAGGCCGGAGACUUCCAGUGGGAAGCGAAGACCCCGUGGAGCUUUACUGCAGCCUGUCGUUGGGGCAUGGUUGUGGGUGUACAGUGUAGGUGGGAGCCGUCGAAACCUCCUCGCCAGGGGAGGUGGAGGCAACCAUGGGACACCACCCUCCCAUGACCAUGUCCCUCACCCCAAGUAGGGGGACACCGGUAGGUGGGCAGUUUGGCUGGGGCGGUACCCUCCUAAAAAUGCAUCAGGAGGGCCCAAAGGUUGGCUCAAGCGGGUCAGGACUCCGCUGUUGAGUGUAAGGGCAAAAGCCAGCCUGACUUAGUUGUCCACAAUACGCAACUAAGAGACGAAAGUCGGGCCUAACGAACCCCUGUGCCUCACCGAUGGAGGCCAGGGAUGACAGAAAAGCUACCCCGGGGAUAACAGAGUUGUCGCGGGCAAGAGCCCAUAUCGACCCCGCGGCUUGCUACCUCGAUGUCGGUUUUUCCCAUCCUGGAUCUGCAGCAGGAUCCAAGGGUGGGGCUGUUCGCCCAUUAAAGGGGAUCAUGAGCUGGGUUUAGACCGUCGUGAGACAGGUUGGUUGCUAUCUGCUGGA
rnacentral:rRNA from 1 species